rnacentral:rRNA from 1 species
UGCAAGUCGAACGGCAGCACGGAGAGCUUGCUCUCUGGUGGCGAGUGGCGAACGGGUGAGUAAUAUAUCGGAACGUAUCCAAUAAUGGGGGAUAACGAGUCGAAAGAUUCGCUAAUACCGCAUACGCCCUACGGGGGAAAGCAGGGGAUCGUAAGACCUUGCGUUAAUGGAGCGGCCGAUAUCUGAUUAGCUUGUUGGUGAGGUAAAGGCUCACCAAGGCGACGAUCAGUAGCUGGUUUGAGAGAACGACCAGCCACACUGGAACUGAGACACGGUCCAGACUCCUACGGGAGGCAGCAGUGGGGAAUUUUGGACAAUGGGGGCAACCCUGAUCCAGCCAUUCCGCGUGAGUGAAGAAGGCCUUCGGGUUGUAAAGCUCUUUCGCAAGGGAAGAAAACUUAUGAUCGAAUAAAUCGUGAGGUUGACGGUACCUUGAUAAGAAGCACCGGCUAACUACGUGCCAGCAGCCGCGGUAAUACGUAGGGUGCGAGCGUUAAUCGGAAUUACUGGGCGUAAAGCGUGCGCAGGCGGUUUUGUAAGUCGGAUGUGAAAUCCCCGGGCUCAACCUGGGAACUGCGUUCGAAACUGCAAGGCUAGAGUGUGUCAGAGGGGGGUAGAAUUCCACGUGUAGCAGUGAAAUGCGUAGAGAUGUGGAGGAAUACCAAUGGCGAAGGCAGCCCCCUGGGAUAACACUGACGCU